AAACUGGUGUCAGCACCACAUGUCCUUGAUGAAUUACAUUCAGUCACAGCUCCUUCAGGUGCAGGAGGUUUACAAGAAGCAGCUCUCUGCUCUUCUACCAGACCAACCCAGGGGUGUUCCCCACGAUGUGAAUGCAGAAUUCAGCUGGCUUGAAGCAUCAGCAUGAAAGCAGUGCAACUGUCCAGACUUUACAGCAGUGUUCAGGACUGACCAGCUGGUAGCUGAUUUCCUGAUACAAGCCCAUGUAGGUGUCCAUCUGUAAAGGUGUGGAUACAGCAGCCCUGGUGAGCUCCAGAAUAUGGACCUUUUUGCUUCGGAGUGUUAGUGAGUCACUGGGACAAUUCAAAGUGAAAUUUAUUCUUUGAUGCAUGAUAUUCAACGUUCAAAAACAAGGUGUUUUACUUUCUGAAUUAGUAUCUGCCAAACUCAUGAAGUUCAUGGACACCAUGUGGUGCUCUGCCUUGACCACAGGUUUAGUGGCAUCCAAUUUUUUUUUUCCCAGCAGGCCCAUUAAACACACAGUAGAGAUGGAAACCAAAGCUGAUGAUAUUUAACAAAAUACAAACCCUGUUGCAUUCCUAUUAGUAUAUGUUCUGCCACUGAUGUGAAGGGAGCAGGAUGUAGUACCUUUCACAGCAAGGCACUGCCAUUUAGGUGUCUACUCAUCCUCUAAGAUGCACCUAAAAAGUGCUGCAGAAUAAUUUGUUGUCUUUAUUAAGGUUGUGCUUCAUUUAUGCUGAUUUUGUUAAGGGAAAGACUACGUCCUGUAUCACUUCUUUUAAUGCAUCUAUGCACAAAGGCUGUGGCAGCAGGAUGUGACUCACAGAAAAGCAAGGAGGAAGUAGUUGGAAUCUGAGCUCUUUCGGCUUCAGUAAGUGCUGUUUAAAGCCUGUGCUUUUAGAACAAGCACAUGAACUUUGCAUUGUCUCAUUGUUCUCCCUUGGAACCAGUCUCUGUCCUCCCCUCAUAGAAUACUUUACUUUGUGGUCUUUUUUUUGCCUCCAGUCUCCUCACUGAUUUUCUUUAUUGUUUUCUUUGUCUUUUUUAUGAAAACUAGCACAACUUACCUCAAAAGACUUGAAGCAGAGCUAAAUCCAGCUUUAAAGAACUUGCGGAGGUCUAUCACAGGGGGCCCAAAUUUUUGUGAAAGGCACAGAGCCCCGAAGCAGAUGUUGCUGCUCCUCUAGCAAUAUUCAUUAAUAUCAGGAAAUGCAGACCCCUUCUAGCUUUCUCCUAAUAAGCAACUGCUAAGCAAGGUGCCUCUGCCCUAUGUGACAGUCAACUUGCUCAGCUCUGCUGGUUAAACGGCAAACAAAUGUGCAGUGUUUCACAUAGGUGUAGUACAGUCCAGCUGGGUGUGAUGCAUUUUUCUCCCAGGCAGGGGAUUAACCUUCAACCUCAUUUGUCUUGUUCUAUAAUGUAGCGUCACCAUGAUAAUCGCAAAGCAAACAAAUAGUUUACUGCUUCAAUUGAGGUAAGUAAACAUUAACUACUUUUAUUUACUUAAAGUGGUGAAUGCUGAUAGCAGAGAAGCUGAAUGGACUCAAGGAAACCAUUACAAGACACAUGGAGAUGUGCGUCAUGGUGAGAGACAGGCGGCAGCCUGGGAGACCCAUCAGGACAGGGUGAAACUGGAGUUGUUAGGAGUCAAUGCUUUGCAAAAUCUUUAUGGGCUAUAUGAUGUGAAAUAAACUGUGGAAAGGGAAAAUGCUUUUGUCCACUUGGUAACAGUGUUCCACAGCAAGCAAGCAGACAUUUAUAAGUCCUUUGUAAAAUUAAAAAGGUCACGAUAUUGUUUUCCAUUUCUAAUCUUAACUCUGGUUUCAGUCAAGGACACAGGUGGGGAAGGUAUACACCACCAGUCUCCUUUUUCUCCCCUAAAAAAGAUGUUGUCUGAAAGCUCUCUUCUGUGAGAGUGGCAGCACACAGCAUGUUUGGAGUUACCAAUUGGGGCAUUAGAUGUAGCACUCGUGCAUGAGGGUUUCAGAUAAAAUGAUGUGGGUGGGCAAAGUGACUGUAAUGAUCUAAACAGUCAAGCUAUUCCUAUAAUAGGGAUUGCUGAUAGAUAACAAAAUGCAGAGUCAUGGAAUCAGCGUAUGGAACUCCUUGGUGUGCUGUGGUCUGACCAAUAUGACCAUAAAUUAUUGUGUUCUUUAACGUGAUAUAAAUCAUGGCGUAACUUUACUAGUUACAUACUGCCUACAAUUAAUUAGUUUUGCAUUAAACUACCAUAAGCAGUAGUUCCUUAUGGGAUUUUCAAUCUGUAGGCCCAGCUGUGUCUUAGCUGCCACUAACGAAUGUGCUGUGUCUAAUUGAAGUGGGAAGGAUCACACUUAGCCUUGUAGUUGCACUGCUCAGCUGUAUCACUGUUAGCAGUGGAGUAAUCUCUUCAGAAACCCAACAGUUUUACUGGAAUCUACCAGCUAAGUCCUGGCUGAAGAUGAGGACAUCUCUGUAAAGCAGGGCUUGCUUUUUUUUUUUUUGUUUAUAGUAGGUUUUUUUGUUUGUUUUUGUAUUUAAAAUUCUAAGCUAAAGAGUGAAUCUAGCAAUAAAAUUCAUCUCUGAGCAAUGAUGGUAUCUACUUCUGCACUUUUGAACUGGCUUGGUUACAGAUAGAGAAGUUUGCAUACAAGAAAUUAUGAGCAGUUUGUAACACCUUGGGUUUCCUGUUGGCUUACGUUGAUUAAACUGAUUUUUAAGUUGGAUUUUUCAGAAUCCACGUGUCCAGCAUUACACAGACUGCCAAGAUUUCUCCUGUCAAUAUAAAACAAUGAAACCUGUCUGAGUAUGUGAGUGUAUAUACCUUGUCAUGUUUAUGUGCAUAGCAGAAUAUGCAAUCUGGACAGCCACGAUGUAUUGAAUAAAGUGAAGUCUUGUCCC